UGCCCCACAUGCAAGGGAGCUCUUGAGUUUCGUUGGCUUCAGGCCGGUCGCAUGUUUUCUUGCUUCGACAUGCAUAAACAGUUCCUGGAUCCUCGCCAUAAGUUCAGGAAAGACAAGAAGAACUUCAUCAGAGGUAGAGUUGUCAAAAACUCUGCACCACCUACGUUGACAGGCCAACAGACCCUGGAUCAGUUAAACGCUCUCGAGCCAGAUCCAGAGCGUCCAGGGUACUUCAAGGGGUAUAAUUCUAAGCACGCCUGGACUCACAAGACAUGCUUAUGGGAUCUGCCUUACUUCAAAGACCUCCUUUGCCCAAACAACAUCGACGUGAUGCACACUGAGAAGAAUAUCGCCGAGGCACUUUUUGGUACAUUGUUCGGCAUAGAUGGGAAGUCAAAGGAUAAUACUAAGGCUAGAGUCAAUCUGGAGGCGCUAUGU
rnacentral:rRNA from 1 species